GAUGAACGCUGGCGGCGUGCCUAAUACAUGCAAGUCGAGCGAACAGAUGAGGAGCUUGCUCCUCUGACGUUAGCGGCGGACGGGUGAGUAACACGUGGAUAACCUACCUAUAAGACUGGGAUAACUUCGGGAAACCGGAGCUACUACCGGAUAAUAUAUUGAACCGCAUGGAUCAAUAGUGAAAGACGGCUUUGCUGUCACUUAUAGAUGGAUCCGCGCCGCAUUAGCUAGUUGGUAAGGUAACGGCUUACCAAGGCAACGAUGCGUAGCCGACCUGAGAGGGUGAUCGGCCACACUGGAACUGAGACACGGUCCAGACUCCUACGGGAGGCAGCAGUAGGGAAUCUUCCGCAAUGGGCGAAAGCCUGACGGAGCAACGCCGCGUGAGUGAUGAAGGUCUUCGGAUCGUAAAACUCUGUUAUUAGGGAAGAACAAAUGUGUAAGUAACUAUGCACGUCUUGACGGUACCUAAUCAGAAAGCCACGGCUAACUACGUG
rnacentral:rRNA from 1 species